rnacentral:rRNA from 1 species
ACGGGUGAGUAACGCGUGGUCAACCUACCGUUGAUGGGGGGAUAACUAGCCGAAAGGUUAGCUAAUACCGCAUACGUCUCCGAGGGGCAUCCCUUGGCGAUAAAAGGAGCAAUCCGCUCGAUGACGGGACCGCGUCCCAUUAGCUAGAUGGUGGGGUAACGGCCUACCAUGGCUCCGAUGGGUAGCUGGUUUGAGAGAGCGACCAGCCACACUGGGACUGAGAAACGGCCCAG